AGGCACAAGUCUGGGGUGGUGCCUGUGAGGUGAGGGAGAAAGCUAUCAGUUACCAAAAGGCAAGUGUAGUUAUCCCAGAUUAGCCUGGGCCAGCUAUGGCUACAGCCACUUGAAAGGGAAUCAGAGGCAGACCUGCCCUUGUGCCAGCAAUUUCCCUGAUGCUGAUUUCCUGGUACUUCGGUGUCUCUUGGAUUACAACCUGACUCUGCCUUCUGGUCUUCCCUCCCUGACCCUGGCUUGACCCCAACCUGAGGAAUUUAGUUUGUACCCGAUGGUCCAGGGUUCCAGCUACCUUGGUGUUUUUCAGUGUCUCCCAGAAAGGUUCCACUAGGACGUCCCCUCUGGCUUCCUUCCUUGUGUGCUCCCCUCUGGCUUCUGGAACUGCAGCUUCUUUGCCUGAUCCUGGUGGACCUGGAGGUCAGAGGUGGGCUUGGCUGUCUCCAAGCCUUACUGUGGAAGGGGGAGAGGUAGGGCCAUCAUAGACCAUUAGAGCAGGAACCUUCUGUCCAUAGACUCCAACCCCUUCAUCUUGGAGAGGAGGAAAAGCAGGCUCAGAGAGGGUGAGAGUUUUGUUCAGAGUCACUCAGGAAGUGAGAGGCAGAGCCAAGAAUCUCGGAGCGGGAAGAGACUUUGGGGGCUUCCUCCUCUUGUCCAGUCCCUCAGACAGUGGGAGAUGUGGCUGAUUGGGACAGCUCCAUGUCACUGGCUGUCUCCUCCUCAAGACCCUGUGUAGGAGGCAGUGGGCAGAGGGUCUCAGGGGCUCCUGGCCCCACGUCCUGGUUACCAAGGAGAGAACAGGCCCUCCCUCGACAGACUGACUGGGGGACCAGUCCAGAGACCCGCGAUCGCUCAGGACCUCAGCCUGAGGAACACUGCCAAAUGGCGAGACUCUCCCAGCGCCUCUAGUGGCUACUGCGCAGGCGCCAAAGCUCCAGCUCCGCCCCCAACUACUGCGCAGGCUCCGGAGACAUCCUGGCGUCCCGUUCCUCCUCCUCCCCAGGCGCCUGAGAAGAUGCUCAUGGAACUGGCCUUGUCGUUCGCCCACAGCGCCGCCAUGUGGCCGGUCCCUUUCUCUUCCCAGCCCAGGUGGCUCGCCUCCUGCUUUAGCUUAGCCCCUGGCAUCGUAGGACUUAAGACAUCGUCUGGUCCUGGAGUUCCUAGCUUGGGCCCCAUGAACUUGCUUUCAAGUAUUUCGCAUAGAGCUGGUUUCCUUUGUCAUCCCGUGCCUCUUAUUUUACCAACUUAAAAGCAGGACCCUGAAGGGUUCAGAACCCUUGCUCAUCGCUGCAGGUGAGGGAGCCUCCAGCUGUGCCCGCAUGGACAGAACCCCUCCAGGGAGCCCUUUGGAAUCCCACUACGAGUGGGAGGACAGGACCUGCUUUGUCCUCACUCAAGCUUCCCAGCCUUCCUGGUGCCCCCCGCGCUUCUGAGGACAAGAAUAUUCCCAACAAUUCCUACUUCAUCAAAUGGCUCUAGCCGUCAUUCCCAGAGGAUAGGAAUCUCUUUCUCCCGUCGGCAUGAUCCCAAAAGGGUUGCUCACCUGCAGAUUAAAUGAACUCCUUACUGCCGUGGAAACAGGUUUAAAAAAAAAAAAAAAGCUUAAGUCAACUCCUAGGAAUCUCUGCUCUGACCAGAAGUUUCUGACUGCCCCCAAGAAGACCCCCACAUACAUCGGCAGGUUCUAACUACCCCUGUUCCUGGACAGAGAUAAUAGCAAAGACACUUCUGGAACACUCUCUUCCGGCAGUUCUGCUGUUCUGUGUAUCCACUAUACACAUGACUAUUUCCCAAGACUAAACCCUAUAAGAAUCCCCUUUCUCCCCUCCUUUCCUGGACGUCUCUGUCUGAAAAGACAGGCAUUUUCCUGAAAUGUAAUUCCUCAACCCUGAAUAAAUGCCUUCAUUUAUUUACUGAUCCCC
ensembl:lncRNA